rnacentral:rRNA from 1 species
GACGAACGCUGGCGGCGUGCCUAAUACAUGCAAGUUGAGUGCUGAAGGUUGGUACUUGUACCAACUGGAUGAGCAGCGAACGGGUGAGUAACGCGUGGGGAAUCUGCCUUUGAGCGGGGGACAACAUUUGGAAACGAAUGCUAAUACCGCAUAAAAACUUUAAACACAAGUUUUAAGUUUGAAAGAUGCAAUUGCAUCACUCAAAGAUGAUCCCGCGUUGUAUUAGCUAGUUGGUGAGGUAAAGGCUCACCAAGGCGAUGAUACAUAGCCGACCUGAGAGGGUGAUCGGCCACAUUGGGACUGAGACACGGCCCAAACUCCUACGGGAGGCAGCAGUAGGGAAUCUUCGGCAAUGGACGAAAGUCUGACCGAGCAACGCCGCGUGAGUGAAGAAGGUUUUCGGAUCGUAAAACUCUGUUGGUAGAGAAGAACGUUGGUGAGAGUGGAAAGCUCAUCAAGUGACGGUAACUACCCAGAAAGGGGCGGCUAACUACGUG